UACGAAGGGGGCUAGCGUUGUUCGGAUUUACUGGGCGUAAAGCGCACGUAGGCGGAUUGGUCAGUUAGGGGUGAAAUCCUGGAGCUCAACUCCAGAACUGCCUUUAAUACUGCCAGUCUCGAGUCCGGAAGAGGUAAGUGGAACUCCUAGUGUAGAGGUGGAAUUCGUAGAUAUUAGGAAGAACACCAGUGGCGAAGGCGGCUCACUGGCCCGAUACUGACGCUGAGGCACGAAAGCGUGGGGAGCAAACAGG
rnacentral:rRNA from 1 species